CACACGCACAACCGCCCGCACGCCCCCCUCCUCCCAUCGCGCCUCACCGCAUGCCGCCUCCUGCUCCUCCCACGCCGCGCCGCGCCGCACGCCGCCUGCGUCGGCGGUAGGGGCGGCAAGGUCCAUCUCCUCCCUCAAGCUGCGGCGGCCUUGAGACACAGCGGGCUCGGCCACGAAGAUGGAUUUCUCCGACGGGGCAUUCGAUUCCUGGCCUCUGUUCCUCAACCUCGCGUCAGGCACAUAUGCCCCAGCGGUUGUUCCUCCUCGUGGUUAGCGACGCAGAUGCCGCUCCUGUCGUUCCUCGCACAACCGAGGAUGCGGAACUCCUCUACGGUGAGACGCAUUGCGUAGCCUCUGCCCUCCAGCAUCAUGGCAGCAUGCCUAUGCCCACCAAAUGUUCGAUGAGUUCCCCUAAUUGACCUAUCUAUAUAGCUAGCCCUCUCUAUUUCAGUCUCUCGUGUCAUCCAUAUAUGAUCUUAUUUUGUUUCAGUUUUUUGCUAUAUUUAACACUGACAUUUGUUUAAAUCCUAUCCAUGUUGAACCAUUGAAAGGGAGCACACAAAGCUGCAGAGGCAACAACUCCAAAGGAAUCAGCAUGGUCAUGCGUUUCUAUAUAUUCAGUGUGACUAGAAACCAACAUGCUGACUACUAAACCAUAUGCACAGGAUGGUAGAAAAUUAUUAUUCUAUAUGCACAAGAUCGUAGAACAUUAUUAUUAAUGUCUACAUUGGAAAGUAUCCAAAUUCUAAACAAGUGAUUGGUGAACAAUUUUUUAUCUAGGUUCAAAAGUUGAUAAUCCAUUACAGUUCUUUCAUUGUGCAGGCAACCUCGGGUACAACGAAACGGCUUUGUUUUGCUUCUGUCGUCACAUUGCUGAAUACGACUUUGAAUCUCAGCUGCACUUGACUGCUCCUUCUAUAUUGAUCUGCUUGGCAACUUAUAAUUUGCACAAGCAUUCCCCUGCAUAGUUUGUCCUUGGUCUGAAAGAACAAUUCCUGAUGAUAUAUUUGAAAUCAGGUUGUUUCCUGGAUCCUAUGAACGAUAUGUACAGUCACGCUGUCAUUAUCCGUUUACCAUCAAGUAAGUUUUCACUAUGUUUUGUUUCAGUUCCAUUUCAGAAUCCCUAAACCAUAUACUCCCUCUGUUCCUCAAUAUAAGUCUUUGUAGAGAUUCCACUAUGAACCACAUACGGAUGUAUAUACAUGCAUUUUGAGUGUAGAUUCCACUCAUUUUGCUUCGUAUGUACUUCAUAGUAAAAUCUCUACAAAGACUUAUAUUUAGGAACGGAGGGAGUAAAUUGCAGAGCAAAGCUAGAUGAUGGACAUCUUCACUAAUAAGUAGGUGUGCUUACCACAUUCCUCUUGUUUUCUACAGUUGACGAUUUAAAUUAUUCAAGAAUGCACGACGCACAAGGCUGUAAGGUUUCCGCACUUGCAUCCAUAGAAAUCUAGGUGUUGGUAAAUUCUGUUUUGGAUGGAUUCUGAAGGGAACUUUGUUUUUAUCAAGGAUCAGACAAUACUAAGAGACUAACAAGAAUACAGUAAAUUACUGGAUCAUUCAUAGUUCCCUAGCGUAGAAUAGAACCCGUUCUGGUAACUAUCUUGGGGCUCUAGAAAUAAUUCCUCUGAAACUGAAUCAUUCAGUCAUACCUUCACUUUAGUAAAUAAUGGCUCUGGAUACUGGGAUCUCUCAUCUUGAUUAUUUUUUAUAUACUGCAUUGCAAAACCAGAAGCUCAAGCUAGGUUAGGCUAAGACUAGGCUCACAAAAUAAUGAUGAUGAUUACUUAGCUAAAAUUGUUCUGGAACUUUUCGUGAUCUCACAUUUUUUUCCCGAGACUGAAUUAAUGGGUAUGGAAUUCUAUUUGGUCGAGUUGUUUAUCUGAAUGCAACCUUUGAAUAGUUAAUGAAAUUUCUGGGAUUUGGUGUUGCCAGAUUGUUCAUGUGAACGUGGCAGGAGCCUUCAUUUGUGGCCUAACAUUUUUUACCAGUUAUUAUCUUCUCAUGUAAUAGUUGUAAAUUUGCAGUCUAGAUUAGCACAUAUAGUGACUACUCAUGCUUGUCAUCACUGUACCUAAAUGAUGUCUUCCUUGCGUACUUGUCAUCACUACACCUUCAAUCGACACUGUUAUUUAUGCUGAAUGUCAAGACCUUCAGUAUUGUACACCAUUUUUAUGAAUGCUUAGCCUAAACGUCACGGUUGUUUAUGUUAGCCUUGCUUUAUAAGUCAGAAUGAUGGGCCAAGAGCUUCCGUUUCUUUUGGGUUGGGUUUUAUUUACUACGAAUAUAUCUAGCGAUACAAAGAGCACAUGAGUUAUUCCUACAAUAUUUUUGGUGUUCAGAUAGAGUUAAGAAAAUUAUGAUGUUACCAGAUCUAUUUAGUUCAUGAUUUUGGUAAUUAAAAUUCUAGCCUGGUGAUGGAUUAGGUUGAUGGGUCAACAUCUUCAGUCAUCUUCACUUUGUAAGUUGAACUAUUAAUGCUUAGUUUUAUUGUAGAGGGGCUUAGUUCAGUUUGCAGAACUACCAUGAUAAAUAGACAAACUGUUUAUUGACAGAGGGGAUUUGUUUUUAUGCAUUCAUAGUUAUUCCUGUUAUAGGCUGGUCCUCUUUUGAGGCUACUAAUUGCAUUAGGAAGAUGUUUUCUUUCGAAAUGGUUAGAAAGAGGAUGUUGAACUAAACUUCCCUUAGUUCAUUCCUUAUAUUUUUCUCAUGUUUCCUCGCAAUGGAAGGAGCACGAUAGCUUGUGGGUGGUGCUAUGGUGCAAGCGUGUAGUGGACUUGGAGGCCAGGAUUUUAGCUACAGGAAAAGAAUGAGGCUACAACUGGUGGACAAGUGAUAUGACCACGAUAAGAAAAAUGUUGCAGGUGCACAUGAUGAGCAGUCUUGGUGAGAUUAGUGGCUGAAGCUGGCUGGCAAAUAUCUGAAGGAAUCCACUAGACUUUUUUUUGCGGGAAGGAAUCCAAUAGACUUCCUGUGUAGUGAAAAUGACCAAUAUGCGCAUGAAAAAAGAUGGAUCACCCUGAGGUUUGCAAUGUAAAUCUUAUGGAAGGUGACACUGUUUGAUCAAGAGAUGAACACCAUUCAAUUGGCAACUUUGGAUUGUUCCCAUUAUUGGAGUUUGAUGUUUGAAAUUAGUUGUUUUUUUGCAUUUUGACACGGAGUUAUGUUGUUUCACCACAUGCAACAAUUUAAAUUUUGGUGUUCGAAAUAUGUUUGACUAAAUAUAUAUGGAGUAUUAGUUAGUACGUGCAUUGCACGUGCGCGUUUACUAGUGCAGUUGUGGUAGUACUAAUUUGUAGGUCUAGUUUUCUACAG